GACGAACGCUGGCGGCGUGCUUAAUACAUGCAAGUCGAGCGGACAGGCCCUGCUCUUGUGGGUCUCUCGAUUGGCGCACGGGUGUGUAUAACGUGAGUAAACCGCCCUUGUCUUUCGGAUAUCUUUACGAAACUCCGGCUCAUACCCGAUAGGAUCUCCUGCAGCAUGGUGGGGGUUGGAAAGUUUCGGCGGUUGGGGAUGGACUCGCGGCAUAUCCGCUUGUUGGUGUGGUAGUGACUUACAAGGGCUACGACGGCUAGCCGGCCUGAGAGGGUGACCGGCCACAUGGGUACUGAGGGACGGCGCAGACGGCUACGGGAGGCAGUAGGGGAGAAUAUGGCGCAAUGGGCGGGAGCCAGAGGCAGCGACGUCGCGUGCGUGAUAACCGCCUUCGGGGGGUGAACCGCUGUCGCCGUUGACGAGGCGUGAGUGACGGUAAUGAGUAAAGAAGCACCGGCUAACUACGUG
rnacentral:rRNA from 1 species